CGGACGAUGUAUCAAAUAGCUUAACUUGAAGAGCUCUUGGUGUGCAACCAAAAGAUCCGGGUUCGAUUCCCGGUCCGGGCUGUCCGA
rnacentral:tRNA from 1 species